GAUGAACGCUAGCGGCAGGCUUAACACAUGCAAGUCGAGGGGCAGCAUGAAGGUUAGCAAUAACCUUUGAUGGCGACCGGCGCAAGGGUGCGUAACGCGUGAGCAACUUGCCCGUUUCUGGGGAAUAACCGGUGGAAACGCCGACUAAUACCCCAUGGCAUCAGAUUGAGGCAUCUUAAUUUGAUUAAAGAAUUUCGGAAACGGAUAGGCUCGCGUGACAUUAGCUAGAUGGCGGGGUAACGGCCCACCAUGGCUACGAUGUCUAGGGGUUCUGAGAGGAAGGUCCCCCACACUGGAACUGAGACACGGUCCAGACUCCUACGGGAGGCAGCAGUGAGGAAUAUUGGUCAAUGGUCUGACGACUGAACCAGCCAUGCCGCGUGAAGGUCACGGCCCUAUGGGUCUUAAACUUCUUUUGUAAGGGAGCAAUAAGUCUCACGUGUGGGAUGAUGAGAGUACCUUACGAAUAAGCAUCGGCUAACUCCGUGCCAGCAG
rnacentral:rRNA from 1 species